rnacentral:rRNA from 1 species
AUACGUAGGUGGCAAGCGUUGUCCGGAUUUAUUGGGUUUAAAGGGAGCGUAGGCGGGAGCUUAAGUCAGCGGUUAAAUGGUGCGGCUCAACCGUGCCCUGCCGUUGAAACUGGGUUUCUUGAGAGUGCAAGAGGCGGAUGGAAUUCAUGGUGGUGCGGUGGAAUGCUUAGAUAUCAUGAAGAACUCCGAUUGCGAAGGCAGUCCGCUGGGGCACGUCUGACGCUGAUGCUCGAAGGUGCGGGAAUCAAACAGGAUUAGAUACCCUGGUAGUCCGCACGGUAAACGAUGAUUACCCGCUGUCGGCGGCAGACAGUCGGCGGCCAAGCGAAAGCGAUAAGUAAUCCACCUGGGGAGUACGCCGGCAACGGUGAAACUCAAAGGAAUUGACGGGG